rnacentral:rRNA from 1 species
AAUCUAAGCGGUGGAUCACUCGGCUCAUGGGUCGAUGAAGAACGCAGCAAACUGUGCGUCAUCGUGUGAACUGCAGGACACAUGAACAUCGACAUUUUGAACGCAUAUCGCAGUCCAUGCUGUUAUGUACUUUAAUUAAUUUUAUAGUGCUGCUUGGACUACAUAUGGUUGAGGGUUGUAAGACUAUGCUAAUUAAGUUGCUUAUAAAUUUUUAUAAGCAUAUGGUAUAUUAUUGGAUAAAUAUAAUAAUUUUUAUUCAUAAUAUUAAAAAAUAAAUGAAAAACAUUAUCUCACAUUUGAAUGUGAAAAACGAAGAGAAAUAUUUUCUUUUUCAAUCAAAUAAUACUGAGAAAUGUCUAGCAUAAAAAAUUGAAAUAUUUUUCAUCUAGAAUUGUCUCUUAUUAAUGAUUCGGAAAUAGAAAAAUCUUGGUUAUGUUAUUAUUCUUCGUUGGUUCGUUAAAAAUGGAUAAAUAAAAACUUUGCAUACAAGAAUUAAUAAAAAUGUUAUAACGAAUUUAAUUAAAUGUUUUAUCAUUAUAUAUAAAGAAUUUAUGGCAAGAUAAAGUUAUAUACAACCUCAACUCAUAUGGGACUACCCCCUGAAUUUAAGCAUAUUAAUUAGGGGAGGAAAAGAAACUAACAAGGAUUUUCUUAGUAGCGGCGAGCGAAAAGAAAACAGUUCAGCACUAAGUCACUUUGUCUAUAUGGCAAAUGUGAGAUGCAGUGUAUGGAGCGUCAAUAUUCUAGUAUGAGAAAUUAACGAUUUAAGUCCUUCUUAAAUGAGGCCAUUUACCCAUAGAGGGUGCCAGGCCCGUAUAACGUUAAUGAUUACUAGAUGAUGUUUCCAAAGAGUCGUGUUGCUUGAUAGUGCAGCACUAAGUGGGUGGUAAACUCCAUCUAAAACUAAAUAUAACCAUGAGACCGAUAGUAAACAAGUACCGUGAGGGAAAGUUGAAAAGAACUCUGAAUAGAGAGUUAAACAGUACGUGAAACUGCUUAGAGGUUAAGCCCGAUGAACCUGAAUAUCCGUUAUGGAAAAUUCAUCAUUAAAAUUGUAAUAUUUAAAUAAUAUUAUGAGAAUAGUGUGCAUUUUUUCCAUAUAAGGACAUUGUAAUCUAUUAGCAUAUACCAAAUUUAUCAUAAAAUAUAACUUAUAGUUUAUUCCAAUUAAAUUGCUUGCAUUUUAACACAGAAUAAAUGUUAUUAAUUUGAUAAAGUGCUGAUAGAUUUAUAUGAUUACAGUGCGUUAAUUUUUCGGAAUUAUAUAAUGGCAUAAUUAUCAUUGAUUUUUGUGUUUAUUAUAUGCACUUGUAUGAUUAACAAUGCGAAAGAUUCAGGAUACCUUCGGGACCCGUCUUGAAACACGGACCAAGGAGUCUAACAUAUGUGCAAGUUAUUGGGAUAUAAACCUAAUAGCGUAAUUAACUUGACUAAUAAUGGGAUUAGUUUUUUAGCUAUUUAUAGCUAAUUAACACAAUCCCGGGCGUUCUAUAUAGUUAUGUAUAAUGUAUAUUUAUAUUAUUUAUGCCUCUAACUGGAACGUACCUUGAGCAUAUAUGCUGUGACCCGAAAGAUGGUGAACUAUACUUGAUCAGGUUGAAGUCAGGGGAAACCCUGAUGGAAGACCGAAACAGUUCUGACGUGCAAAUCGAUUGUCAGAAUUGAGUAUAGGGGCGAAAGACCAAUCGAACCAUCUAGUAGCUGGUUCCUUCCGAAGUUUCCCUCAGGAUAGCUGGUGCAUUUUAAUAUUAUAUAAAAUAAUCUUAUCUGGUAAAGCGAAUGAUUAGAGGCCUUAGGGUCGAAACGAUCUUAACCUAUUCUCAAACUUUAAAUGGGUAAGAACCUUAACUUUCUUGAUAUGAAGUUCAAGGUUAUGAUAUAAUGUGCCCAGUGGGCCACUUUUGGUAAGCAGAACUGGCGCUGUGGGAUGAACCAAACGUAAUGUUACGGUGCCCAAAUUAACAACUCAUGCAGAUACCAUGAAAGGCGUUGGUUGCUUAAAACAGCAGGACGGUGAUCAUGGAAGUCGAAAUCCGCUAAGGAGUGUGUAACAACUCACCUGCCGAAGCAACUAGCCCUUAAAAUGGAUGGCGCUUAAGUUGUAUACCUAUACAUUACCGCUAAAGUAGAUGAUUUAUAUUACUUGUGAUAUAAAUUUUGAAACUUUAGUGAGUAGGAAGGUACAAUGGUAUGCGUAGAAGUGUUUGGCGUAAGCCUGCAUGGAGCUGCCAUUGGUACAGAUCUUGGUGGUAGUAGCAAAUAAUCGAAUGAGACCUUGGAGGACUGAAGUGGAGAAGGGUUUCGUGUGAACAGUGGUUGAUCACGAGUUAGUCGGUCCUAAGUUCAAGGCGAAAGCCGAAAAUUUUCAAGUAAAACAAAAAUGCCUAACUAUAUAAACAAAGCGAAUUAUAAUACACUUGAAUAAUUUUGAACGAAAGGGAAUACGGUUCCAAUUCCGUAACCUGUUGAGUAUCCGUUUGUUAUUAAAUAUGGGCCUCGUGCUCAUCCUGGCAACAGGAACGACCAUAAAGAAGCCGUCGAGAGAUAUCGGAAGAGUUUUCUUUUCUGUUUUAUAGCCGUACUACCAUGGAAGUCUUUCGCAGAGAGAUAUGGUAGAUGGGCUAGAAGAGCAUGACAUAUACUGUUGUGUCGAUAUUUUCUCCUCGGACCUUGAAAAUUUAUGGUGGGGACACGCAAACUUCUCAACAGGCCGUACCAAUAUCCGCAGCUGGUCUCCAAGGUGAAGAGUCUCUAGUCGAUAGAAUAAUGUAGGUAAGGGAAGUCGGCAAAUUAGAUCCGUAACUUCGGGAUAAGGAUUGGCUCUGAAGAUUGAGAUAGUCGGGCUUGAUUGGGAAACAAUAACAUGGUUUAUGUGCUCGUUCUGGGUAAAUAGAGUUUCUAGCAUUUAUGUUAGUUACUUGUUCCCCGGAUAGUUUAGUUACGUAGCCAAUUGUGGAACUUUCUUGCUAAAAUUUUUAAGAAUACUAUUUGGGUUAAACCAAUUAGUUCUUAUUAAUUAUAACGAUUAUCAAUUAACAAUCAAUUCAGAACUGGCACGGACUUGGGGAAUCCGACUGUCUAAUUAAAACAAAGCAUUGUGAUGGCCCUAGCGGGUGUUGACACAAUGUGAUUUCUGCCCAGUGCUCUGAAUGUCAAAGUGAAGAAAUUCAAGUAAGCGCGGGUCAACGGCGGGAGUAACUAUGACUCUCUUAAGGUAGCCAAAUGCCUCGUCAUCUAAUUAGUGACGCGCAUGAAUGGAUUAAC